rnacentral:lncRNA from 1 species
GGAGAUAUUGGCAAUAACCCUAACCCUUCCCUAUAAAUUGCAAAAUCUCAAUGCGGGCUAAUCUCUUUCAUGCAAUUGCUGAUUGGAUUUGAAUCUCAUCUUCGUUCUUAACUUCAGGUUGCACAAUCAGUAACGUUUGUUUUCCUUUUUAUCUGAGUUUAGUUUUCGGUUUUCGACCAACACUCACCGCCCCGUCGGGGAUCCCAGCAUUUAUUUGAAUACUCGAUCAGUGGGAAAAAGGCAAAUCCGUUAUAUUCAGUCAGCUCACUCCGAUAAUCAAAAGCCUCCGAUAAUCAACACCAUGCCAUUAUAUUCGAAUAGCUUUUCGUCUUUUAAUGAUUGUUUAGUGUUUGUGUUUGUUUUGUGAAUCAUAUGAUUUGUAGACUUUUGGUAUGCUUACACACUAAUUUAAUUGUUGCGGGGAGGAAAUAAAGGGUGUCUUGUGUGCAAGAAAAAGAUGGCAACUUCUCCCAAAACACUUUCUGGAUUCUGCCCUGCCCCAUUUAGAAAUCUUUUGGAAUAUGUUGUUAAUUUGACUUUUGGUAUGCCUACGUAUGCAAAAAUUUCCAUUUGAUCGGCUGAAAGUUCUAAUCGUGUGACGAGGAGCCUAAUCAUUUAGGUUUCGUCGAAUGCUGAAUGAUCACACAUUCUUUGGUACCCACAAAGUUUAUUACCUCCUAAAGUCAUAAUUGCAUUAACUUUAUCUUCAAAAGGGGAAGGUCAAACUGAUUUCUUGACCAAACGUCAACUGACAUGGAAGACUUCAUUUUGUAGCCUUAAUUUCAUGUUAAAGAAGAACAUUUGUUACCUAUUUUAUGGUACUUAUUUUAAAUUAACUAAUGUUCAUGAAGAGAACUCACAUCAUAGUACUUUGGCUGUUUGUUUGAAGCCGUGAAAAUGAAGCCCUUUAAUGGAAGGUAGAUGUCGAGACCAAUGAGGUUAAUACUCAAAUGACGUUGCCACUAUGGAGCUUGGACCACCCGAUUAGCAUGGAGCAGCUAGAGUUAUUUUCCGGGUCAACACUCAACCCAUUAAAAGAGAAGUCUCAGCUUAUGUUGGGUUAGAGGGGAAGGAAGUUAUGAGCAACAGUUAUCUCUAUUUUCCAGUUUACUAUUUAGACUAGACUAUCGUUGUUUUGUUCUUUGUCUUUGAAAAACUCAGUAUUUAUUUCUUGUAUUUGGAGAUUAGCCCAUCUCAAAUAGGCCUAUUAUCAGUUGUUUUAAUU